rnacentral:rRNA from 1 species
AAAUUGAAGAGUUUGAUCAUGGCUCAGAUUGAACGCUGGCGGCAGGCCUAACACAUGCAAGUCGAACGGUAACAGGAAACAGCUUGCUGUUUCGCUGACGAGUGGCGGACGGGUGAGUAAUGUCUGGGAAACUGCCUGAUGGAGGGGGAUAACUACUGGAAACGGUAGCUAAUACCGCAUAACGUCGCAAGACCAAAGAGGGGGACCUUAGGGCCUCUUGCCAUCGGAUGUGCCCAGAUGGGAUUAGCUAGUAGGUGGGGUAACGGCUCACCUAGGCGACGAUCCCUAGCUGGUCUGAGAGGAUGACCAGCCACACUGGAACUGAGACACGGUCCAGACUCCUACGGGAGGCAGCAGUGGGGAAUAUUGCACAAUGGGCGCAAGCCUGAUGCAGCCAUGCCGCGUGUAUGAAGAAGGCCUUCGGGUUGUAAAGUACUUUCAGCGGGGAGGAAGGGAGUAAAGUUAAUACCUUUGCUCAUUGACGUUACCCGCAGAAGAAGCACCGGCUAACUCCGUGCCAGCAGCCGCGGUAAUACGGAGGGUGCAAGCGUUAAUCGGAAUUACUGGGCGUAAAGCGCACGCAGGCGGUUUGUUAAGUCAGAUGUGAAAUCCCCGGGCUCAACCUGGGAACUGCAUCUGAUACUGGCAAGCUUGAGUCUCGUAGAGGGGGGUAGAAUUCCAGGUGUAGCGGUGAAAUGCGUAGAGAUCUGGAGGAAUACCGGUGGCGAAGGCGGCCCCCUGGACGAAGACUGACGCUCAGGUGCGAAAGCGUGGGGAGCAAACAGGAUUAGAUACCCUGGUAGUCCACGCCGUAAACGAUGUCGACUUGGAGGUUGUGCCCUUGAGGCGUGGCUUCCGGAGCUAACGCGUUAAGUCGACCGCCUGGGGAGUACGGCCGCAAGGUUAAAACUCAAAUGAAUUGACGGGGGCCCGCACAAGCGGUGGAGCAUGUGGUUUAAUUCGAUGCAACGCGAAGAACCUUACCUGGUCUUGACAUCCACGGAAGUUUUCAGAGAUGAGAAUGUGCCUUCGGGAACCGUGAGACAGGUGCUGCAUGGCUGUCGUCAGCUCGUGUUGUGAAAUGUUGGGUUAAGUCCCGCAACGAGCGCAACCCUUAUCCUUUGUUGCCAGCGGUCCGGCCGGGAACUCAAAGGAGACUGCCAGUGAUAAACUGGAGGAAGGUGGGGAUGACGUCAAGUCAUCAUGGCCCUUACGACCAGGGCUACACACGUGCUACAAUGGCGCAUACAAAGAGAAGCGACCUCGCGAGAGCAAGCGGACCUCAUAAAGUGCGUCGUAGUCCGGAUUGGAGUCUGCAACUCGACUCCAUGAAGUCGGAAUCGCUAGUAAUCGUGGAUCAGAAUGCCACGGUGAAUACGUUCCCGGGCCUUGUACACACCGCCCGUCACACCAUGGGAGUGGGUUGCAAAAGAAGUAGGUAGCUUAACCUUCGGGAGGGCGCUUACCACUUUGUGAUUCAUGACUGGGGUGAAGUCGUAACAAGGUAACCGUAGGGGAACCUGCGGUUGGAUCACCUCCUUA